UUAAAAAGCUCGUAGUUGAAUUUCGGGGUUAGUAGGUUGGUCAUGCCUCUGGUAUGUACUGGUCUCACUGAUUCCUCCUUCCUGAUGAGCCGUAAUGCCAUUAAUUUGGUGUUGCGGGGAAUUUGGACUGUUACUUUGAAAAAAUUAGAGUGUUUAAAGCAAGCUAACGCUUGAAUACAUUAGCAUGGAAUAAUGAAAUAGGACGUUCGAUCCUAUUUUGUUGGUUUCUAGGAUUGACGUAAUGAUUAAUAGGGAUAGUUGGGGG
rnacentral:rRNA from 1 species